rnacentral:rRNA from 1 species
AUUGAACGCUAGCGAGAUGCUUUACACAUGCAAGUCGAGCGAGCGGCGGACGGGUGAGUAAUGUAUGGGGACUGCCCGAUAGAGGGGGAUAACUACUGGAAACGGUAGCUAAUACCGCAUACUAUCGGAUAACCCAUAUGGGAUUAGCUAGUAGGUGAGGUAAGGGCUCACCUAGGCGACGAGCCCUAGCUGGUCUGAGAGGAUGAUCAGCCGCACUGGGACUGAGACCCGGCCCAGACUCCUACGGAGGCAGCAGUGGGGAAUAUUGCACAAUGGGCGCAAGCCUGAUGCAGCCAUGUCGCGUGUAUGAAGAAGGCCCGAGGGUUGUAAAGUACUUUCAGUCGGGAGGCGUUACCGACAGAAGAAGCACCGGCUAACUCCGUGCCAGCAGCCGCGGUAAUUC